CUUCAACCCCUGAAAUGCCUCCGUCAAAGCAGAUCCAGUCCUCAAACUGAUAAUCUCCUUAAAUUGGAUUGGUUUGAGGAGAGAUUGCUUGCUCAGCUCAGAUGGCAGUAGAUGGAUAGCCAUUGUGCUGAGAACUAUGUUGGGAGAGAUGUUCUCAGGACAUGUUCUCACUGGCAAAAAAGGGUUUUGGGAAAUAAUACCCAUGAUCCAGAUCUCACCUUGUUCGGAUCGCAAUCCCAUCUCAAGCCAUUUGCUCUUAUAUUCUUAAGUUCUACUUAUGAUUACACAUGGUGGGGCAGAAAAAGAAAAUCAUAAUAUAUAAUACAGAAAGUAACAAAAACUAUGCUCCCCUUCCCUAAAAUACUAUAUUAAAAAUCAUCCAAUGGAUUUAAAAGAUCCUCCAGCAUUCCUUUUACACUUAUGAUUUACUCCAAAUUAAUAUUUUUGCCUUUAGCUUUCAAUUUUCUAAUUUCAAUGUGAACCCAAUCAAAUAUCAUAUUCGAAAAUCUGUGUCCUUCUCAUUUCCACUCCAAUCUAUCAGAUCAAUACCAGUAUAUGUCAACUCUAUUGUGACUGUUUCAUUAAUUUGUAUAUUAAUUUAUUCAUUUGUCAGUGCUUUGACUGGAAAGUAUAAAUCAGUCACGACAUAAUAUAAACUCCUGACUCAGCUUAAUUAUUUCAUAUAGCGGUGUUGUUAACGUAAU